AUCAACGAUAGAUGAAUCGCGAUCUAGCAUGCCUGUCGUCUUUUGGCCGAGCACAGUCAAAGACGUCUCUUAAACUCGCAAUUUACUAAGGCAUGUAAAAUUGAGCAAAUAAUUUAGCCAUCUUAAACUCGAUUCUUCUUAGGAAAGAAAAAUCUGUCAGAACUAGAUAAGAAGAAAUAUAAUUGAUCUAACGUAACUGCUAGAAAUAUAAUUAGGGCAACACACAAGAAGAUGAGUUUUAACACAAGCUUAUUAUUUAUACUUAUUACCUUUAGUAUAUUGACGCAUGAGACUCUAGCUUACUUUUUGUGGCCUAAUAGUGGGUGUAAACUUAAGUAUCACAGAGGUCCUUGCGUCGAAGGACAGACGUAUUUUCCCUAUGUUAGAUGGUGGUAUAAUGACAAGACAGAUAAAUGUGAAACUUUUUCAUGGGGAGGUUGCAAAGGAAAUCCAAAUAUUUAUGACUCUGAGAUAGAAUGCAUCUACGCAUGUAUACACGUCAUUUUUUAUCCAUUG